CUCGGGCUGUGGGUGAGUGUCACCUCCCACUGCACCUAGCUGGCAGUGACUUCUCGGCAUGUGGCAGGCUGGUCACCCUGUGCAGCAGGACAGAAGAAUGCAUUUUGACACAUUGUACACAAACGGAGCACAACUGCUUCCCCUUGCUGAACAAGGUGCAGAGUCACACCAGCAGUGUAAUCAUACCUGUAUAUAGGGUAAUGUAGGUGUGAGGGCUGGAACUGGAGCAGUGCUAUUGCAUCAUGAGGUACAGGAAACCAUGUACUGAAGAAAAGGAGGAGCCUGGAAUUCUGAAAACUUGGAAUCUACCUACCCAACUUGGAGCUUCCUACAUAUGGGAUCUUCUCUCCCUCCCUUCUUCCCUCCCUCUCUUUCUUUCUUUCYUUUUUGGCACUGGGGGGUUGAAUCCAGGGGUUCUCUACCUCUGAAAUACACCCCCCAGUCUUUUUAUCUGCCUAAGCUACCAAGGCUGGCCUGGAA